AUUGAACGCUGGCGGCAGGCCUAACACAUGCAAGUCGAACGGUAACAGGAAGCAGCUUGCUGCUUUGCUGACGAGUGGCGGACGGGUGAGUAAUGUCUGGGAAACUGCCUGAUGGAGGGGGAUAACUACUGGAAACGGUAGCUAAUACCGCAUAACGUCGCAAGACCAAAGAGGGGGACCUUCGGGCCUCUUGCCAUCGGGUGUGCCCAGAUGGGAUUAGCUAGUAGGUGGGGUAACGGCUCACCUAGGCGACGAUCCCUAGCUGGUCUGAGAGGAUGACCAGCCACACUGGAACUGAGACACGGUCCAGACUCCUACGGGAGGCAGCAGUGGGGAAUAUUGCACAAUGGGCGCAAGCCUGAUGCAGCCAUGCCGCGUGUAUGAAGAAGGACUUCGGGUUGUAAAGUACUUUCAGCGGGGAGGAAGGGAGUAAAGUUAAUACCUUUGCUCAUUGACGUUACCCGCAGAAGAAGCACCGGCUAACUCCGUG
rnacentral:rRNA from 1 species